UGCCAGCCGCCGCGGUAAUACAGAGAGUGCGAACGUUGUUCGGAAUUACUGGGCUUAAAGAGUACGUAGGCGGCAUAACAAGUGUCAGGUGAAAUCCCACGGCUCACCCGUGGAACUGCCUGGCAAACUGUUAAGCUAGAGUGUGGUAGGGGAGAACAGAACUCAUGGUGGAGCGGUGAAAUGCGUAGAUAUCUAGAGGAACGCCAAAGGUGAAGACAGACGGCUGGGCCGGCGCUGACGCUCAGGCACGAAAGCGUGGGGAGCGAACGGGAUUAGAUA
rnacentral:rRNA from 1 species